UACGUAGGGGGGCGAGCGUUGUCCGGAUUUAUUGGGCGUAAAGAGCUCGUAGGCGGCGCGGUAAGUCGGGUGUGAAAUCUUGGAGCUUAACUCCGAAACUGCAUUCGAUACUGCCGUGCUUGAGGACUGGAGAGGAGACUGGAAUUUACGGUGUAGCGGUGAAAUGCGUAGAUAUCGUAAGGAAGACCAGUGGCGAAGGCGGGUCUCUGGACAGUUCCUGACGCUGAGGCACGAAGGCCAGGGGAGCAAACGGG
rnacentral:rRNA from 1 species